GAAUUUUAUGGUGUUGAUUUUAGGAUUUUACCAUCUCUGGAAUUUUAAUUGUGCUAGACUCUUUGAACAUGUAUGCAUAUGUGACAUGUUUCAUUCAUCUUAUUGUGAAAUGCUCAUAAAUGAUCCAAUUGCCAUGAAAUUUUGCAUGAUGAUUCAUAACAUGUUGAUUGACUUGUGAAAUUUUAUUUGGCAUUUUUUGCUAUUUUCUUCCCUGUUUUGGACACAUGUACUUUAGGUGUGACAAUGUG
rnacentral:lncRNA from 1 species